UACACACCGCCCGUCACAUCACGAAAGUGGGUGGUACUAGAAGCCGUCCCGCCAACCCGCAAGGGGGGCAGACGUCCAAGGUAUGACUCAUGAUUGGGGUGA
rnacentral:rRNA from 1 species